GCAUUGAUAGCUCAGUGGCAGAGCGGUGGGGCGUUUACCCAUGCGGCCCGGGUUCGAUCCCCGGUCGAUGUA